GGGUUGUGAGGUUAAGCGACUAAGCGUACACGGUGGAUGCCCUGGCAGUCAGAGGCGAUGAAGGACGUGCUAAUCUGCGAUAAGCGUCGGUAAGGUGAUAUGAACCGUUAUAACCGGCGAUUUCCGAAUGGGGAAACCCAGUGUGAUUCGUCACACUAUCAUUAACUGAAUCCAUAGGUUAAUGAGGCGAACCGGGGGAACUGAAACAUCUAAGUACCCCGAGGAAAAGAAAUCAACCGAGAUUCCCCCAGUAGCGGCGAGCGAACGGGGAGGAGCCCAGAGCCUGAAUCAGUGUGUGUGUUAGUGGAAGCGUCUGGAAAGGCGCGCGAUACAGGGUGACAGCCCCGUACACAAAAAUGCACAUGCUGUGAGCUCGAUGAGUAGGGCGGGACACGUGGUAUCCUGUCUGAAUAUGGGGGGACCAUCCUCCAAGGCUAAAUACUCCUGACUGACCGAUAGUGAACCAGUACCGUGAGGGAAAGGCGAAAAGAACCCCGGCGAGGGGAGUGAAAAAGAACCUGAAACCGUGUACGUACAAGCAGUGGGAGCACGCUUAGGCGUGUGACUGCGUACCUUUUGUAUAAUGGGUCAGCGACUUAUAUUCUGUAGCAAGGUUAACCGAAUAGGGGAGCCGAAGGGAAACCGAGUCUUAACUGGGCGUUAAGUUGCAGGGUAUAGACCCGAAACCCGGUGAUCUAGCCAUGGGCAGGUUGAAGGUUGGGUAACACUAACUGGAGGACCGAACCGACUAAUGUUGAAAAAUUAGCGGAUGACUUGUGGCUGGGGGUGAAAGGCCAAUCAAACCGGGAGAUAGCUGGUUCUCCCCGAAAGCUAUUUAGGUAGCGCCUCGUGAAUUCAUCUCCGGGGGUAGAGCACUGUUUCGGCAAGGGGGUCAUCCCGACUUACCAACCCGAUGCAAACUGCGAAUACCGGAGAAUGUUAUCACGGGAGACACACGGCGGGUGCUAACGUCCGUCGUGAAGAGGGAAACAACCCAGACCGCCAGCUAAGGUCCCAAAGUCAUGGUUAAGUGGGAAACGAUGUGGGAAGGCCCAGACAGCCAGGAUGUUGGCUUAGAAGCAGCCAUCAUUUAAAGAAAGCGUAAUAGCUCACUGGUCGAGUCGGCCUGCGCGGAAGAUGUAACGGGGCUAAACCAUGCACCGAAGCUGCGGCAGCGACGCUUAUGCGUUGUUGGGUAGGGGAGCGUUCUGUAAGCCUGCGAAGGUGUGCUGUGAGGCAUGCUGGAGGUAUCAGAAGUGCGAAUGCUGACAUAAGUAACGAUAAAGCGGGUGAAAAGCCCGCUCGCCGGAAGACCAAGGGUUCCUGUCCAACGUUAAUCGGGGCAGGGUGAGUCGACCCCUAAGGCGAGGCCGAAAGGCGUAGUCGAUGGGAAACAGGUUAAUAUUCCUGUACUUGGUGUUACUGCGAAGGGGGGACGGAGAAGGCUAUGUUGGCCGGGCGACGGUUGUCCCGGUUUAAGCGUGUAGGCUGGUUUUCCAGGCAAAUCCGGAAAAUCAAGGCUGAGGCGUGAUGACGAGGCACUACGGUGCUGAAGCAACAAAUGCCCUGCUUCCAGGAAAAGCCUCUAAGCAUCAGGUAACAUCAAAUCGUACCCCAAACCGACACAGGUGGUCAGGUAGAGAAUACCAAGGCGCUUGAGAGAACUCGGGUGAAGGAACUAGGCAAAAUGGUGCCGUAACUUCGGGAGAAGGCACGCUGAUAUGUAGGUGAAGUCC
rnacentral:rRNA from 1 species